rnacentral:rRNA from 1 species
GGAAUUUUGCGCAAUGGGCGAAAGCCUGACGCAGCAACGCCGCGUGGGGGAAGAAGGCUCUUGGGUCGUAAACCCCUUUUGCCGGGGAAGAUCGUGACGGUACCCGGCGAAUAAGCCACGGCUAACUACGUGCCAGCAGCCGCGGUAAUACGUAGGGUGCAGGCGUUAAUCGGAAUUACUGGGCGUAAAGCGUGCGCAGGCGGCUCCUUAAGUCAGAUGUGAAAUCCCCGGGCUUAACCUGGGAACUGCGUUUGAAACUGAGGGGCUAGAGUGUGGAAGAGGGGGGUGGAAUUCCAGGUGUAGCAGUGAAAUGCGUAGAGAUGUGGAGGAACACCGAUGGCGAAGGCAGCCCCCUGGGCCUGUACUGACGCUCAUGCAUGAAAGCGUGGGGAGCAAACAGGAUUAGAUACCCUAGUAGUCCCUGAG